ensembl:snRNA U6 U6 spliceosomal RNA
GUGCUCACUUUAGCAGCACAUAUACUAAAAUUGGAUCAACAGAGAUUAGCAUGCCCCCUGUGCAAGGAUGACAGCCAAUUUGUAUUCCAUAUUUUU